UACGAAGGAUCCAAGCGUUAUCCGGAUUUAUUGGGUUUAAAGGGUGCGUAGGCGGCCUAUUAAGUCAGGGGUGAAAGACGGUAGCUUAACUAUCGCAGUGCCUUUGAUACUGAUAGGCUUGAAUGUACUUGAGGUAGGCGGAAUGUGACAAGUAGCGGUGAAAUGCAUAGAUAUGUCACAGAACACCAAUUGCGAAGGCAGCUUACUAAAGUAUGAUUGACGCUGAGGCACGAAAGCGUGGGGAUCAAACAGG
rnacentral:rRNA from 1 species